AGAGUUUGAUCCUGGCUCAGGAUGAACGCUGGCGGCGUGCCUAAUACAUGCAAGUCGAACGAGUUCUCGUUGAUGAUCGGUGCUUGCACCGAGAUUCAACAUGGAACGAGUGGCGGACGGGUGAGUAACACGUGGGUAACCUGCCCUUAAGUGGGGGAUAACAUUUGGAAACAGAUGCUAAUACCGCAUAGAUCCAAGAACCGCAUGGUUCUUGGCUGAAAGAUGGCGUAAGCUAUCGCUUUUGGAUGGACCCGCGGCGUAUUAGCUAGUUGGUGAGGUAAUGGCUCACCAAGGCGAUGAUACGUAGCCGAACUGAGAGGUUGAUCGGCCACAUUGGGACUGAGACACGGCCCAAACUCCUACGGGAGGCAGCAGUAGGGAAUCUUCCACAAUGGACGCAAGUCUGAUGGAGCAACGCCGCGUGAGUGAAGAAGGCUUUCGGGUCGUAAAACUCUGUUGUUGGAGAAGAAUGGUCGGCAGAGUAACUGUUGUCGGCGUGACGGUAUCCAACCAGAAAGCCACGGCUAACUACGUGCCAGCAGCCCGCGGUAAUACGUAGGUGGCAAGCGUUAUCCGGAUUUAUUGGGCGUAAAGCGAGCGCAGGCGGUUUUUUAAGUCUGAUGUGAAAGCCCUCGGCUUAACCGAGGAAGCGCAUCGGAAACUGGGAAACUUGAGUGCAGAAGAGGACAGUGGAACUCCAUGUGUAGCGGUGAAAUGCGUAGAUAUAUGGAAGAACACCAGUGGCGAAGGCGGCUGUCUGGUCUGUAACUGACGCUGAGGCUCGAAAGCAUGGGUAGCGAACAGGAUUAGAUACCCUGGUAGUCCAUGCCGUAAACGAUGAAUGCUAGGUGUUGGAGGGUUUCCGCCCUUCAGUGCCGCAGCUAACGCAUUAAGCAUUCCGCCUGGGGAGUACGACCGCAAGGUUGAAACUCAAAGGAAUUGACGGGGGCCCGCACAAGCGGUGGAGCAUGUGGUUUAAUUCGAAGCAACGCGAAGAACCUUACCAGGUCUUGACAUCUUUUGAUCACCUGAGAGAUCAGGUUUCCCCUUCGGGGGCAAAAUGACAGGUGGUGCAUGGUUGUCGUCAGCUCGUGUCGUGAGAUGUUGGGUUAAGUCCCGCAACGAGCGCAACCCUUAUGACUAGUUGCCAGCAUUUAGUUGGGCACUCUAGUAAGACUGCCGGUGACAAACCGGAGGAAGGUGGGGAUGACGUCAAAUCAUCAUGCCCCUUAUGACCUGGGCUACACACGUGCUACAAUGGAUGGUACAACGAGUUGCGAGACCGCGAGGUCAAGCUAAUCUCUUAAAGCCAUUCUCAGUUCGGACUGUAGGCUGCAACUCGCCUACACGAAGUCGGAAUCGCUAGUAAUCGCGGAUCAGCACGCCGCGGUGAAUACGUUCCCGGGCCUUGUACACACCGCCCGUCACACCAUGAGAGUUUGUAACACCCGAAGCCGGUGGCGUAACCCUUUUAGGGAGCGAGCCGUCUAAGGUGGGACAAAUGAUUAGGGUGAAGUCGUAACAAGGUAGCCGUAGGAGAACCUGCGGCUGGAUCACCUCCUU
rnacentral:rRNA from 1 species